CACUGCAGCUCCGAAGGCAGCGGCGUUUCCAGGAGCAUUCCAGGCACUGACAUUGUUCAUUCCUUAGCCAUUUCAAAGCAGCUGCUGGAGGACCCAGAGAUGUGCCAUCCGGAACCCCAGGGGCAGCUUCUGAGGAGUGUCACCAUCUGCUCCCAUCCCCUUGUGCUUCAGCUCUGCUCAGGUGCCCUCAAUGGCUCUUCCCGUGCCCUUCCCAGCAGGAUGGCACCCUGUGUCUGGCGCCCCACUGCAGGAACCUCGUCUGAGCUCAGGUCCUUAUCUCGGUUGAUCUUCCCAAGUGAUCAUGAUCCCCAUCUCUGGCAGCAACACCAUCACUGCCUCCCAAGCAAAUAAAUAUUUUAAACCCA